ACGUCGCUUGCAUUAGGCAACUUCAAAGGGACCAAGGUUACCCAGAACAGUAGAUAAUGGGCAGAUAUGGCGGCCUCAUCAUAACAUCCAUUAAAGCUCAGAACAUUUCGUUCUGAUCCACAGAAGCUCCUGGAUCUCUGAGUGGAGAGCUUUGAAGACCUCAAGAAAGAUGGGAACCUACACAUGGAUGUGCUGUAUUCUGCAUGACCUAUGCAGAGCCGAGUAGGAGCGCGUUAGACGAUAAAUGGAAGGACUCCAG